rnacentral:rRNA from 1 species
GACGAACGCUGGCGGCGUGCUUAACACAUGCAAGUCGAACGGAACUCUUUGGAUCAAGACUUCGGUCAAGUGAGAUUGAGUUUAGUGGCGGACGGGUGAGUAACGCGUGAGGAACCUGCCUUUCAGAGGGGGACAACAGUUGGAAACGACUGCUAAUACCGCAUAACGCGUAGAGAUCGCAUGGUCUUUACGCCAAAGAUUUAUCGCUGAGAGAUGGCCUCGCGUCUGAUUAGCUAGUUGGUGAGGUAACGGCCCACCAAGGCGACGAUCAGUAGCCGGACUGAGAGGUUGACCGGCCACAUUGGGACUGAGAUACGGCCCAGACUCCUACGGGAGGCAGCAGUGGGGAAUAUUGGGCAAUGGGCGCAAGCCUGACCCAGCAACGCCGCGUGAAGGAAGAAGGCUUCGGGUUGUAAACUUCUUUUGUCGUAGGAAGAGUAGAAGACUGUACUCGGCGAAUAAGCCACGGCUAACUACGUG